UGAGGGGAAGGAGACAUUUUUAUUCUCCCCAUAGCAAGCUAUUUGUAUGUGUAGCAAAAAAAAAGGAAAAAUAAAAUCUACUGUAUUUUUUAAAAAUAUUUUAGGAAUAUGUGGUGAAUGUUUAAGAAUAUUUUCUUUAUCUGUCUGUCCAGCAAUGAGGUUUCCUGCACACUUAACUGAAAUUAUCAGUUGUUUUUACAGUCGAAAGCAUUUCACAGAAGAAGAGGCUGAAAAGUGGUGGGCCGAAAAUGGAACCAAAAUAUUGGAGCGGCACAAUAUAGUUGCUUUAUAGAAUAUGCAAGAGAAUCUGUUCCCCGGAGAAAAGCUUAUCCUUCUUCUGUGCACUAUCGAAGCAGUAAAUUCUUUUCCCCUCUUCCCUCUUCCAAAAUUAACAAGGAUCUUCUCCAAAAUUGACAGGUAGGAUACAAAAUUAUGGGAAAAAAAAAACCACAGCAGGAGGAAACUUGUAACUUUCCAGAAAAAUGGUUCUACAACCUCCCUCCCCUCAGCCAAAGAAAAAAAAAAUGGAAAAUAGCAGAAUUUUUUUUUCUUUACUGAACUUACACUGACAAGUGUGGUGCAAAUUCAGCUGUUUUAUUUUUGGUAUAACUGCGUGUAUGUUUACUUGCAGCUGAGGAUUCUUUUCAGUUUCUUUUUGCCUAUUGUAUAGCUACUUCUCUUGCAACCUAGUGAUCUCUUGCCAACCUAGUGAUCUCUUGCUGUGCAUUUUGACAAUUUGCUCACUCCAUUUAGAGCAUAGCGAGGCACUGCACUUUACAUCCUUGGUUGUAUGAGCGUUUAAUGUUGGUCCCUUUACCAUUCUGAUACUCAAUAACUUUCCAAAGGUACAGACGGGGAUAGUAUUUAAAUUUGACUAGGUAUCCUCAGUAAAAUGAGGAUUUGUACAUUUGGUAGUUAUUCAUUUUUUUAAGCCCCGUAUAGUCUGUUGGUUUCAUUUUUCAUUCUUCGGACUCGGACACCAUUUUUUGCCGUAAAUUUGGAUCAUCAUUGGUCCUUUGAUAGACUUCAUUAGUAACGCCAAUUUCUGAUUAUCAUCUCCUAAAAUCUUGCAGAGGUUGUUAUUGGCAAAUGUGGGAAAAAUGGUGACUACCCUCAAGUGCAUCUUCAUGGGAGUAAGUAGCAAAAGUACCAUCUUUUUCUUCCUCAAGUUUCUUGCCUACCCAGAGCUCCAUGGCCUAUCACGAGUCUUUUUCCCUUCACUAUAUCCUGCUGUUGAAAUUGGAAGUGGAAAGUUCCAUGGUUCGUUACAUUGUUCUUAAACCUUUUAAGACUUCAGGCUCUGAUCCGAAUUCUCCGAUUUAGUUGAAGCAUUGAGGGACGGACAAGAUAAAACAACGACUUCACAUACAGUCAUAUAACAGAGAAACGGGUGCAUUAAUUUUCUUGAACUUUAAUAAUUAAUGACUCAAUUAAAGUUAGUAAGAGUUAUGCAUACGGCUAACUAUUGGGAAUAAGAAUGAUGUAGUGAGUGAGGGAGGUGGCUGCAAUCAAUGCAUAAGGAAAAUAGCCACUUUACUGAAAUCAAAGCUUGCUGUGGGUCAAUCCAUUUUUGGUUGGACUGUGCUGGCGGUAGUAGUUUUGUUAAUUCAAUCCAGCUCAUAUCAUCAUAGGCAACAGCCUUAUAUUUUAACUUCCUAUAAGUUUUAUGACAUUAUUAAUUUGAAUCUUUUUUCCCCACCAACCUCCAUUCAUUUUAUAAGAUGGUGCUUUUUUAAAUACAAAUUACAGAUAACAAGAAUUAAAGUAGUUGUCCUUGGAGUAAUGUCUAACCUCUUAUUUUUCUCUUUAAAUCUUUGAUACAUGCAUUAUUAGGAAGUGAAAGUGAGAGUAUUCCCAUUUCAUAAUAGACAUUUAGAUGACAUGAACAUAAUAAU
rnacentral:lncRNA from 1 species